CUACGGGCGGCUGCAGUGGGGAAUAUUGCACAAUGGGCGGAAGCCUGAUGCAGCCAUACCGCGUGUGUGAAGAAGGCCUUAGGGUUGUAAAGCACUUUCAGUCGUGAGGAAAGGGGUGUAGUUAAUACCUGCAUCCUGUGACGUUAGCGACAGAAGAAGCACCGGCUAAUUCCGUGCCAGCAGCCGCGGUAAUACGGAAGGUGCGAGCGUUAAUCGGAAUUACUGGGCGUAAAGCGCGCGUAGGUGGUUCAGUCAGUCAGAUGUGAAAGCCCCGGGCUCAACCUGGGAACUGCACCUGAUACUGCGGGACUUGAGUACGGUAGAGGGUAGUGGAAUUUCCUGUGUAGCGGUGAAAUGCGUAGAUAUAGGAAGGAACACCAGUGGCGAAGGCGACUACCUGGACCGAUACUGACACUGAGGUGCGAAAGCGUGGGGAGCAAACAGGGUUAGAUACCCCCGUAGUC
rnacentral:rRNA from 1 species